UUUCUUCUUCUUUUUCAGAAAACCUCUCCUCUCUCUCUACCCCUUCGUUUUUUCUCUUCUCCCUCCCUCUAAAUCCCUCACAACCCACCCAAAUCUUCACUCAAAUAACACUUUUCUCACUUAAUUUUUCGAGUAGAAUCCAUUUUUGGCAUCUAUUCCUUGAAAUUUCAAGUGUUUUGAUCAAUUUUAUAAGAUUUGCAGUUAGGGUUCCAACUCCACCAAGAUGUCUAGAGCUACAAAUGGUACAAAUAAGGGUGCAUCUUCCUCACGAAGUGCACCUCAAUCGGAAGAGUCGCUUUUAACUGCAUCUGUGGUUACCGAGCGUAAUCUAGACCUCAAUCCCUCAAUUCAAUUCACUGGACUUAUCCAAGUCCAACACCUACUUAGGAAUAGAAACCUCUUACCUUUAGCUCGUAUCUAUGGAAAAUACAAUGAGUCUAUAGUGCAAGAAUUUUAUGCUGCUUUCCCUAGGGUGGAGCCUAGAGACAACCAAACUGUGCCCAUUAAGGUUCGGGGAAAAAAUGUUGACAUUUCCCCCUUCAUUAUCUCUUAUGUUCUUAACUUGCCUGAAGGGGAUACUGAUGAAUGGAAUCGCUAUUUGGGUAGAGAUUUUAAUUUGCAAGAUGCAGCUGAAAGGCUUUUCUAUGCUGACCCUACUGCCUUUGCUUCCUAAACCAAAAAGACUGUCCUCAUUCAGGGUAAGUUGACACCCCACUUUGCCAUUAUGUGGAGCUUUGUGUGCCACAACAUCUACCCAUCCGGCCAACAGUCGAAAAUUCCCACUGUAGGGGUCAAGAUUCUAAAAUUUUUGCAUGAGGGAACUUUUUCCCUACCCAUAGAGGACAUUAUUUUUGAACGUUUAAAGGCUUGUGCACGUAAGAAAAGUAUUAUUUAUUAUCCUUGCAUUGUCAGCAUGAUUUGCACACUCCGGUGUUCGGGCUCGUCUCAAUGAUAUAAUUGUUAAGCCCAUGGGUCCUAUUUCGGAGACUUCUGUGUCCAACAGUAUCUCUCAGCGGCGUGAUGCUACCAGAUCAGCUCCAGUGCCACCCUCUAUGCCUUCACCGCAGCCGCCCAUGCCGACAUCAUCCCAGCUGUUCCCACCUGCUCCCAGUGUCGACACUUCUGCUUGGGACCCCAGUCUUCAAAUGCUGCAAUACCAGCAGAUGUAGCGGAUGAGCACCUCCAUCGAUGCUAUUUGGACUCACCUCCAGAUGUCAAAUCAGCCUGAGAGCGCAGCAGAUGAUGAUCAUGAUCAUGAUCAUGAUGAUGAGUAGACUUUGAAAGUGUUGUUGCUAGUGAGCUUUUGUUUAUUGUAGUUUUAUUUUUGAGAGU